CUAUCCGCAGAUUCCGCACUGAAGCGGGAGAGAGAAACAUCUCUUUCUUGUUUUUUGGUUUUCCCUUUCUCUCUUUUACGCCGAUGGUUCUGGCUUCUUCUCUUCUGCAGGUUCUUUCUAAGAGGAAAAGAAAACUCUGUACUUCUAUUUUCUUACCCUGCAUCUUCAUCUAAAGAAUUAACUGAAGGAUAAAAUUGUUGAGGUUUUUCUCCAUCUGUGCAACAAAAAGGGAGCUUGUCCUUUCUGGAUACCUAGUUGGUUCCUGCAUUCAUGUCCAUAAGCAGAGAUCCAGAAGAGAGACAUGGAAAGCAAAGGGAAAAAAUUAGUAGCUCAAGUAAAGAGUGAGUUUAAUUGUGUUUCAGCCACCCCCAAUUUCAGAUAAGGGAGUCUGCUUAGGUAAGGUUUAUGGAUCUUUAUCUCAUGAUGGUAAAGUUAUAGAACAAACUUCCACGUAGCUCAGCAAGACAAGAACAAGCCUAGAGGUUGUGCUCACAAGAGACAUUUUGUUACUGCUGCUAACAUGUCUUCUUCUCCACAAAAUUGAUCCUAAGUUUCUGUUGGUUAGAGCUAAUUAGAUGCAGUUAUGUAAAGGGCGGAGAUACAAACUUACAGGGUGUUGACUACGCCUACGUUACAAGCAUUUAUUCCUUUGUGGAGAAUUGGUAGGUCUCAUCUUACGCGCCAUGGAAUUCAAGAACUGUACAUGGAUUACCUUGCUGCUUGUGAGCUUUUUGAUGGGGAUACAUUUACAGUCAUUUAGAUUCGGUGUCUAAAUUCAGGACAAUUUCUUUUGGGAUAUUGAACCUAAGUGUAAACUGAUUGCAGUUAUGAAUUGUGUAACUAAUAGGUUUAUUUAAAUAUACAUUUGAGUUUAUGAA